rnacentral:rRNA from 1 species
AAUCAACGCUGGCGGCGUGCCUCAGACAUGCAAGUCGAACGAUUAAAGCUCUCUUCGGAGAGUGUAUAGAGUGGCGCACGGGUGAGUAACACGUAAGUAAUCUACCUUUGAGUGGGGAAUAACAGUCGGAAACGACUGCUAAUACCGCAUAAUGCAGCGGCAUCGCAAGAUGACAGUUGUUAAAGAUUUAUCGCUUGAAGAGGAGCUUGCGGCAGAUUAGCUAGUUGGUAAGGUAAUGGCUUACCAAGGCUACGAUCUGUAACCGGUCUAAGAGGACGGUCGGUCACACUGACACUGAAUAACGGGUCAGACUCCUACGGGAGGCAGCAGUCGGGAAUUUUGGGCAAUGGGCGAAAGCCUGACCCAGCAACGCCGCGUGAGGGAUGAAGUAUUUCGGUAUGUAAACUUCGAAAGAAUGGGAAGAAUCAAUGACGGU